rnacentral:rRNA from 1 species
UACGUAGGGUGCAAGCGUUGUCCGGAAUUAUUGGGCGUAAAGAGCUCGUAGGCGGUCUGUCGCGUCGGCUGUGAAAUCCCGAGGCUCAACCUCGGGUCUGCAGUCGAUACGGGCAAACUAGAGUAUUGCAGGGGAGACUGGAAUUCCUGGUGUAGCGGUGAAAUGCGCAGAUAUCAGGAGGAACACCGGUGGCGAAGGCGGGUCUCUGGGCAAUAACUGACGCUGGAGGAGCGGAAAGCGUGGGGAGCGAACAGG